rnacentral:rRNA from 1 species
GGAUUCCUGUUUCUCAACAACUUUUCUUUAAGACUUUAUUCAAAAUCUAACCUGCUCAGUGAUUUUUUUUUAAAUAGCCGCGGUAUUUUAACUGUGCUAAGGUAGCAUAAUAAUUAGUCUUUUAAUUGAGGUCUGGUAUGAAUGGUUGGACGAAAAAUUUACUUUAUUAAUUAAAUUUUUUUGAAUUUUAUUUUUUAGUUAAAAAUCUAAAAUGUUUAAGAGGGACGAUAAGACCCUAUAGAUCUUUAUAAAUUUAUUAAUUUUUUUUAUUUAGUUUAAUUUAAAAAUAUUAAUAUUGUUUAUUUUGUUGGGGUGAUAACUAAAAAUUUAAACUUUAGUUAAUUUUUACAUUUUUUUUUGGAUAUAAUGAUCUUUAUUUAAUGAUUAUAAGAUUAAGAUACCUUAGGGAUAACAGCGUUAUAAAAUUGGAGAGUUCUUAUUGAUAAUUUUGUUUGCGACCUCGAUGUUGGAUUAAAAUUUUACUGCGGGGUAGGUUUUGCAGUUUUAGGUCUGUUCAACCUUUAAAAUUUUACAUGAUCUGAGUUCAAACCGGA